rnacentral:rRNA from 1 species
UACGGAGGGUGCAAACGUUGCUCGGAAUCAUUGGGCGUAAAGCGCACGUAGGCGGACUGUUAAGUCGGAUGUGAAAUCCCUCAGCUUAACUGAGGAAGUGCACUCGAAACUGGCAGUCUUGAGUAUGGAAGAGGGUCGCGGAAUUCCUGGUGUAGCGGUGAAAUGCGCAGAUAUCAGGAGGAACACCAGCGGCGAAGGCGGCGCUCUGGGCUGGAACUGACGCUGAGGAGCGAAAGCGUGGGGAGCAAACAGG